GCGGAUAUGGCGGAAUUGGCAGACGCGCACGGUUCAGGUCCGUGUGGGGCGACCUGUGCAGGUUCAAAUCCUGUUAUCCGCA
rnacentral:tRNA from 1 species